rnacentral:rRNA from 1 species
GACGAACGCUGGCGGCGUGCUUAACACAUGCAAGUCGAACGGAAAGGCCCUGCUUGCAGGGUACUCGAGUGGCGAACGGGUGAGUAACACGUGGGUGAUCUGCCCUGCACUUCGGGAUAAGCCUGGGAAACUGGGUCUAAUACCGGAUAGGAGCCAUUUUUAGUGUGAUGGUUGGAAAGUUUUUUCGGUGUAGGAUGAGCUCGCGGCCUAUCAGCUUGUUGGUGGGGUAAUGGCCUACCAAGGCGGCGACGGGUAGCCGGCCUGAGAGGGUGGACGGCCACAUUGGGACUGAGAGACGGCCCAGACUCCUACGGGAGGCAGCAGUGGGGAAGAUUGAACAAUGGGCGCAAGCCUGAUGCAGAGACGCCGCGUGGGGGAUGACGGCCUUCGGGUUGUAAACUCCUUUCGCUAGGGACGAAGCUUUUUGUGACGGUACCUAGAUAAGAAGCACCGGCUAACUACGUG